UACAGAGGUCUCAAGCGUUUGUUCGGAUUCACUGGGCGUAAAGGGUGCGUAGGUGGUGAGGUAAGUCGGAUGUGAAAUCUCCAGGCUCAACCUGGAAACUGCAUUGGAAACUACCUUGCUGGAGGAUUUGAGGGGGGAUUGGAAUACUUGGUGUAGCAGUGAAAUGCGUAGAUAUCAAGUGGAACACCAGUGGCGAAGGCGAAUCCCUGGAAAAUACCUGACACUGAGGCACGAAAGCUAGGGGAGCAAACAGG
rnacentral:rRNA from 1 species